UAAAUAUUAAGUUGUUAAAUCAAAGGUCAAUUAUUUUUAUACUCAUAUUUAAAUGUUAUAUUUAAUUAAAAGUAAAUCAAAAACAUAAUGUGUAAAUAAUAAUUAAUCUAAUAAUUAAUUUGAUUAAUUAGAUUGUCGGCCGGACCUUCGCAGAUGCGCGUCUCCUCGUUGAGGUAGUAUCCGGCAGGACACUCGCACUGGAAGCUACCGAAUGUGUUGACACAGUUUCCCCCUUGACACAGACCAGGCAGCUCCUGGCACUCAUCGAUAUCUGUGAGCGAGACAGAGAGAUUAUUAAUGUAGGCGCCAUUAGACUCACAGACCGCAGGCGUUGUGGUGUUGAUCCGCUCUUACCCUCCAGGAUGACGGUGAUGGGAUUUGGCCGGAAACCCUCUCCGCCGGGACACAGAGUUUUGUACUCGGCUGAGUUGAUGGGUGGGCAGAGUUCGCAGGGGUUUCCCCAGGCUCCGCCCAGCGAGCAGCAGCAGGACGCUCGGGUCACGCCCACCCCGAUCUCAGCGCUGCACGAGAUGCCUCCGUCGCCGCGGUCCAGCGUGUCCAGGAAGCAGUUCCCCACCCUCGUGUCUGACAGAGAACAGAGACUAGAUGCAUUACGUUUACAGUGAUGGUGAUGAAUGUGGAAGACUCAAGUUGGACGGUUUCAGUACCGACGCAGCCCACGCCCGACGGGUUGAGCUCGAAGUCUGGAGGACAGUUGCACUGGUAGCUGCCGGGCAGAUUCACACACACGCCGUUGAUGCAGUUCACAGGGUCGAAACACUCGUUAAUGUCUGACAAAGAGAGACGAAAGUGAGAAACGACACAUGGUCCAAAAAUAAAUACGUUUAAUAAAUGUAAUUAAUUCGUUUGUUUUAGUACUAAAUUACACAACUAAAUGCAAAACAAACAAUAACAUUAAUAAGUUGCUUAACAUUGAAAUUCCAUAAAUAAGCAAUUAUACAAUUAAAUACAAAAUAAUUUCGCAAUUUUAUUAUGAAUUGAAAUAUAAAUUAAAAUACUGAUAUAAAUGUAAGACAAUUAUUUCGUUAAAAUUAUUUUAUUUCAACUAAAAUUACACAAUUAAUAUGGUU
rnacentral:lncRNA from 1 species